rnacentral:rRNA from 1 species
AGAGUUUGAUCCUGGCUCAGGAUGAACGCUAGCGGCAGGCUUAACACAUGCAAGUCGAGGGGCAGCACGAUGUAGCAAUACAUUGGUGGCGACCGGCGCACGGGUGCGUAACACGUAUGGAAUCUGCCUUGUACUGGGAGAUAGCCCGGAGAAAUCCGGAUUAAUAUCCCAUAAUAAGUUGAGUGGCAUCACUUGACUUUGAAAGCUCCGGCGGUACAAGAUGACCAUGCGCACGAUUAGCUAGUUGGUGAGGUAACGGCUCACCAAGGCUACGAUCGUUAGGGGGCCUGAGAGGGUUAUCCCCCACACUGGUACUGAGACACGGACCAGACUCCUACGGGAGGCAGCAGUGAGGAAUAUGGCGCAAUGGAGGCAACUCUGACGCAGCCAUGCCGCGUGCAGGAAGAAGGCGCUACGCGUUGUAAACUGCUUUUAACCGGGAAGAAACCCCAGGACGUGUCCUGGGUUGACGGUACCGGAGGAAUAAGCACCGGCUAACUUCGUGCCAGCAGCCGCGGUAAUACGAAGGGUGCAAGCGUUAUCCGGAUUCAUUGGGUUUAAAGGGUGCGUAGGCGGGGCCAUAAGUCAGUGGUGAAAUCUUGCGGCUUAACCGUAAAAUUGCCAUUGAUACUGUGGUUCUUGAGUAUGCUCGACGUAGGCGGAAUGUGCCGUGUAGCGGUGAAAUGCUUAGAUAUGGCACAGAACACCGAUAGUGAAGACAGCUUACGAGGGCAAAACUGACGCUGAGGCACGAAAGCGUGGGGAUCGAACAGGAUUAGAUACCCUGGUAGUCCACGCCGUAAACGAUGAUCACUCGUGAUUGGCGACAUACGGUCAGUCACCUAGCGAAAGCGUUAAGUGAUCCACCUGGGGAGUACGAUCGCAAGAUUGAAACUCAAAGGAAUUGACGGGGGCCCGCACAAGCGGUGGAGCAUGUGGUUUAAUUCGAUGAUACGCGAGGAACCUUACCAGGGCUCGAACGCACGUAGACAGUCGCGGAAACGUGAUCUUCUUCGGACUGCGUGCGAGGUGCUGCAUGGCUGUCGUCGGCUCGUGCCGUGAGGUGUCGGGUUAAGUCCCAUAACGAGCGCAACCCCUACUGUUAGUUGCCAGCGGAUAAUGCCGGGGACUCUAACGGAACUGCCCGCGUAAGCGGUGAGGAAGGUGGGGACGACGUCAAGUCAUCACGGCCCUUACGUCCUGGGCUACACACGU